GAGGCUCCCGGGCCCGCCGGCGUCUGGAGGGAACCGGGGCGCCCAGCGGUGUGCUGGGUGGGGGUGUGAGGCCCGGCGGGCUGGGCGUGGGUCCCCCGGCCUGGGCCGACGCACUCUCGCUGGGGCAGCCGCCGCUGCCCGGACCUGUCUCUACUCGAAACUCUCCCCUCCAGGCCUGGGUGCCGGCACCGCACAGUUUGAUCCAGUGGAUUGCCCAGUCAGAACUUCCCAACUGAGGCACUGUGAAUAAAAUAUAGUUGUGUUUAAUAAUAA